rnacentral:sRNA from 1 species
CUCACCCUAACGCGCAACGAACGCAACAUCGCGUUCUGAGUGCCGGGUGAGGUGCAGACUAAGAAAGGAGCAAUCCAAUCUACGUUAGUGGCGUGAUGAAAUGCUUUGGUGAACGCCAGCCAUUGCCUCUUUCGCCCAGCUUUAAGUCUCUCGCGCGAGCGGGAGGGACUGAAAGGUCCAGUGAGUUGGGCACACGAAAGCGCCAGUAACUUUGUCGAGGCAAACCUAACGGCCUUCGGGCC